rnacentral:rRNA from 1 species
CCUACGGGAGGCAGCAGUGAGGAAUAUUGGUCAAUGGUCGGAAGGCUGAACCAGCCAAGCCGCGUGCAGGAUGAAGGCCCAGAGGGUCGCAGACCUCUUUUGCGGGGGGACAAAAUGCCGGACUCGUCCUGUCCUGAGGGUACCCGGUGAAUAAGCACCGGCUAACUCCGUGCCAGCAGCCGCGGUAAUACGGAGGAUGCGGGCGUUAUCCGGAUUCAUUGGGUUUAAAGGGGGCGUAGGCGGCGCUUUAAGCCGGCGGGGAAAUCGCGGGGCUCAACCCCGCCGCGCGGUGGGAACUGGGUGCCUUGAGUGCGGCGGAGGCAUGCGGAAUGCGCGGUGUAGCGGUGAAAUGCAUAGAUAUCGCGCAGAACCCCGAUUGCGAAGGCAGCGUGCCGUGGCGCCACUGACGCUGAGGCACGAAAGCGCGGGGAUCGAACAGGAUUAGAUACCCUUGUAGUC